CUGGAGUAACUCAGUGGGGUCGGCAUCGUGACACAGUAGUAGAGAAGCUGCCUUACAGCGCCAGAGAUCCGGGUUCUAUCCUCACUACAGAU